rnacentral:rRNA from 1 species
UACGGGGGGGGCAAGCGUUGUUCGGAAUUACUGGGCGUAAAGGGCUCGUAGGUGGCCAACUAAGUCAGACGUGAAAUCCCUCGGCUUAACCGGGGAACUGCGUCUGAUACUGGAUGGCUUGAGUUCGGGAGAGGGAUGCGGAAUUCCAGGUGUAGCGGUGAAAUGCGUAGAUAUCAGGAGGAACACCGGUGGCGAAGGCGGGUCUCUGGACAACAACUGACGCUGAGGAGCGAAAGCGUGGGGAGCGAACAGG